CCUACGGGUGGCAGCAGUGGGGAAUAUUGCACAAUGGGGGAAACCCUGAUGCAGCGACGCCGCGUGAGUGAAGAAGUAUUUCGGUAUGUAAAGCUCUGUCAGCAGGGAAGAAAAUGACGGUACCUGACCAAGAAGCCCCGGCUAACUACGUGCCAGCAGCCGCGGUAAUACGUAGGGGGCCAGCGUUAUCCGGAUUUACUGGGUGUAAAGGGGGCGUAGACGGCAGGGCAAGUCUGGAGUGAAAGGGGGGGGCUCAACCCCCGGACUGCUCUGGAAACUGCCAGGCUGGAGUGCAGGAGAGGUAAGUGGAAUUCCUAGUGUAGCGGUGAAAUGCGGAGAGAUUAGGAGGAACACCAGUGGCGAAGGCGGCUUACUGGACUGUAACUGACGUCGAGGCUCGAAAGCGUGGGGAGCAAACAGGAUUAGAUACCCCGGUAGUC
rnacentral:rRNA from 1 species